UAAAACAGCAAUAAUUUCUUCGGUGAUGAUUUUACUCACGGAUAACCGUAGUAAUUCUAGAGCUAAUACGUGCUGAAAUAAGGUGGGGCUUGCUCCACCGUGCCGUUUAGAUAACAACACCAACAUUUGGUGAUUCAUAAUCGUCUUUCUGAUCGCUUUCGAGCGACACACCGUUCAAAUUU
rnacentral:rRNA from 1 species